rnacentral:rRNA from 1 species
AGAGUUUGAUUAUGGCUCAGAUUGAACGCUGGCGGCAUGCCUUACACAUGCAAGUCGAACGGCAGCACGGGAGCAAUCCUGGUGGCGAGUGGCGAACGGGUGAGUAAAGCGUCGGAACGUGCCCAGUAGUGGGGGAUAGCCCGGCGAAAGCCGGAUUAAUACCGCAUACGACCUAUGGGUGAAAGCGGGGGAUCGCAAGACCUCGCGCUAUUGGAGCGGCCGAUGUCAGAUUAGGUAGUUGGUGGGGUAAAGGCCUACCAAGCCGACGAUCUGUAGCUGGUCUGAGAGGACGACCAGCCACACUGGGACUGAGACACGGCCCAGACUCCUACGGGAGGCAGCAGUGGGGAAUUUUGGACAAUGGGCGCAAGCCUGAUCCAGCCAUGCCGCGUGCAGGAAGAAGGCCUUCGGGUUGUAAACUGCUUUUGUCAGGGAAGAAAUCCUUUGGGUUAAUACCUCGGAGGGAUGACGGUACCUGAAGAAUAAGCACCGGCUAACUACGUGCCAGCAGCCGCGGUAACACGUAGGGUGCAAGCGUUAAUCGGAAUUACUGGGCGUAAAGCGUGCGCAGGCGGUUAUGCAAGACAGAUGUGAAAUUAGCUCAACUAGAGAACUGCCAUGGAUACUGCCAGGCUUGAGUACAGACGAGGUAGGCGGAAUGGAUCGUGUAGCGGUGAAAUGCAUAGAUACGAUCCAGAACACCGAUUGCGUAGGCAGCUUACUAGGCUGUAACUGACGUUGAGCACGAAAGCGUGGGGAGC